CAAUUGAAUAACGCUUAUUGACCGCCUCUCCCCCGGAUGGGAAGGCUAAUAAAAGGUGAAACCGGUUCAAGUCCGGUGCUGUCGCGCAACUGUAAGGAGACGCCCUCUCCAAGCCAGGUCAUCCUUCAAUAAGCUGUUCGCCACA
rnacentral:ncRNA from 1 species